AAUAGGCUGUGUAUUGUAGCAAAAUUUGUAAUGGAAUUUUUUUUUUAAAGAAGGAUUCCCAGAAUAUCACACUAUAAGCAUUGGACAACCUAGAGAUUUUGUGAAAAAUGAACACUCUUAAGGAAGAAGGAUUUUUUGCAUCUGUUUCAGAAAAUGACUGUGAGGAAAGUGUGGAAAGUAGAGUGCACAUUUGUAACACAAAGGGAGACCAUCUUCAAUUGAAAGUAACAACAUUUUAGCCCUUUCUAAUGACUCUUUUGUGCAAACGAAGGCCUCCUAAAAUUUAUGAAGAUGAUGAUGAUAAUAUUGUUUACGAUGUCCUAGAAUAAGAAUUCGCAUAAAUAAAAGAAGAAAAUCACAUUACA